rnacentral:rRNA from 1 species
UGAGGAAUAUUGGGUCAAUGGACGAGAGUCUGAACCAGCCAAGUAGCGUGCAGGAUGACGGCCCUAUGGGUUGUAAACUGCUUUUAUAAGGGAAUAAAGUUAGAGUCGUGACUCUUUUUGCAUGUACCUUAUGAAUAAGGACCGGCUAAUUCCGUGCCAGCAGCCGCGGUAAUACGGAAGGUCCGGGCGUUAUCCGGAUUUAUUGGGUUUAAAGGGAGCGUAGGCCGGAGAUUAAGCGUGUUGUGAAAUGUAGAUGCUCAACAUCUGCACUGCAGCGCGAACUGGUUUCCUUGAGUACGCACAAAGUGGGCGGAAUUCGUGGUGUAGCGGUGAAAUGCUUAGAUAUCACGAAGAACUCCGAUUGCGAAGGCAGCUCACUGGAGCGCAACUGACGCUGAAGCUCGAAAGUGCGGGUAUCGAACAGGAUUAGAUACCCUGGUAGU